rnacentral:lncRNA from 1 species
GAGCACCACAAAUCCAGAUUAAAUAAAAAAUUGCACAUUUUUAAGGCCAUUUUUUUAAACAUCUGAUGCACAAACAGAUUCUUAACAUCAAUGAUUCGAGUUGUUUCAAGCAUAGCCACAAUCUAAAAAAACAAAAGAUAUGAUCUCAAACAUGUUCAGAGAUCAACCGUGAAUUCAGAUCCUAAGAUUCAAAAAUAAAAUAUGAUAGAAAAAUAAAAACCAGAUGGGAUAUUGCUCCACCUCUCAGUUUCAUCUGUCAUCUUCACCACCAAGAAACCUCUUUAUCUAAAUUCAGAAAAAAAAACACCACAAUCUUUGUUAUUUCUCCUCCAAUCAGAACCUUUUCUCCUCAACUCCUCCAAUAUUCAUCGAUGGAUUUGAUUUUGAGAACAAAUUGAUUGUUUCAAAAUCCUUUCCAAAUCAAUUAUUUCCAGAACGUUUCCAAACAUAGGUAUAACGAUUGUUUCCUAAUCUAGGUUUCAAAUUUGUUUAUCAAGAAAAAACACACAUGACGAGACAUAUCAAACAAAAUCAUACCUCACUGUUGAAGAAUCUGUAUUUGAAAUCAACAACCUAAAAACCCAGAAAACUCGGGACGACCCAGAUGUUGAAAUUUCAUGGGUAAACUUAUGCAAGAAGAUUCAACUACCCAGAAGAACGGAAAAGAAUUAAGUCAAAAUUCCUGACCCCCUUUACGAACAGAGAUUUAAGGCUUCAGUUCCAUUGCUACUCUGAAUCUUUUGAUCUACAAAAAAGCAACCUUACGGAUGAAAAAAAAAUGGAGAGAUGGUCUUGCGAUUUUAGAUACCUUCUUAUCCUCGUUGUAAUCUUCAUAUUCGCAGUAUUCAAGGGUUAUUUGGUUGGAGAUUGGUUUCAAGGUAGGUGUGAUGGGUUUCAGUUUUGGGUUUAAAGGAUCUUGGAAGAAAUUUUGGGGGUUCAUGAAUGGUUUCUGGAAAAUCAAGAAGAAAAGCUUUAUGGGUUCGUGAAUAAUUUAUGGGUUUGUGAAUGUGAUGUUCUUGUUGUUGAAAUCAGGAAAAAAAUGUUCUUGAGAUUCAUAUUCUUGUGUAUUUAUCACUAAAGAAGAGAGAGAGAGAGAGAGAG